AGCCGCGAACGGGUGGGUAACACGUGGGUUACCUGCCUCGAUGACUGGGACAACCCGAGGAAACUCGGGCUAAUACUGGAUGUUCCCGCAAGGGGAAAGGAAGCUUCGGCCUCCGCAUCGAGAUGGGCCCGCGGCCCAUUAGCUUGUCGGUGGGGUAAAGGCCCACCAAGGCUUCGAUGGGUAGCUGGUCUGAGAGGACGAUCAGCCACACUGGGACUGAGACACGGCCCAGACUCCUACGGGAGGCAGCAGUGGGGAAUCUUGCGCAAUGCGCGAAUGCGUGACGCAGCAACGCCGCGUGGGGGAAGAAGGCUUUCGGGUUGUAAACCCCUUUCAGUUGGGACGAAGCUUCGCCGAUGAAUAGUCGGCUGGAGUGACGGUACCUUCACAAGAAGCACCGGCUAACUACGUGCCAGCAGCCGCGGUAAUACGUAGGGUGCAAGCGUUGUCCGGAAUUAUUGGGCGUAAAGAGCGUGUAGGCGGCCCGAUCAGUCUGCUGUGUAAGUCCAGGGCUCAACCCUGGAAUGCCGGUGGA
rnacentral:rRNA from 1 species